UAUUUGCGUGCAGCCUGCAUCAGGGCUUUCCAGCUAUGCAAAUGAACUUUGACUUUUCGACCGAGUUUGCUACCUCUUAUUUUUGUGACAUUUUUGUUUGGUUACCUUCGCUUGGAUCAUCUGAAUUUUCAUGCAGUUCUUUUCUGCAGGGCAGCUCUUCACGGUCGUUGGUUACAGUGGCAAUGCAGACUUCUUCAGUUAAAGGUGCCUCGCGGCGAGGCCAUCAAUGGAAGAUCCUUACGCACGUCGUUGUUGUAUGCGAAUACAGAGAUGAAGAACAUGGAAAAAACAUUAUGAAUUGAAUUUCAUCAUCGUCAACUGCUGAGGUCCAGAAUUUGGACUAUGGUGGCCACAGAAACCAUCGACUAUGCAAAUCUACUCCGAGGAAUGUGUUUUUUCUACGAAGACCACUGUAACAGCAGUGUGGAAUAUUAUCUACCUAUCUACUGUUAGCCGCCUAUCUACUACUACGGCAAACACUUCUAGCAGCUAAUGUAAUGUUAAGUACCUCUAUAAUUAUGGCAAGUACUUCUCUUGGUUUCGUUAGCAUGCCUACUAAACUUGGUCACUGGCCACCCACUGCAGUGCUGAUCAAACCUCCUGCUGCAGUACAUAUAUUUUAGACUGAACAUAUAAGCAAUGCUAGGGUCUUAAACGAUUUGCCGAUCUCUGUCCAGGUUGUAUGCUCCCGAAUUUCUGUUGAGGUGGAUACAUGUUGGUGCCAAAACUUACCAGAUUUAUGGAUAUAGUUUUUGUGGGUU